rnacentral:rRNA from 1 species
AUAUCAAUAAGCGGAGGAAAAGAAACUAACAAGGAUUCCCCUAGUAACUGCGAGUGAAGCGGGAAAAGCUCAAAUUUAAAAUCUGGCGUCUCCGGCUGUCCGAGUUGUAAUCUAGAGAAGUGUUAUCCGCGCUGGACCGUGUACAAGUCUCCUGGAAUGGAGCGUCAUAGAGGGUGAGAAUCCCGUCUAUGACUCGGUGUUCGCUGUGUUUGAGCAUACGUUCUAAGAGUCGACUAGGUUGGGAUUCCUGGUCAAAGCAGGUGGUAAACUUCAUCUAAAGCUAAAUACCGGCCGGAGACCGAUAGCGCACAAGUA